CUCUCUACAUGUCUAAAGAUUGGUAUCAUAGCAACCACAUUCUCUGACCAUUAUGUAGUCAAGUUAGAAAUCAAUAAGCAACAGACAUCUAGUAAAGCCCACAUUUCUAUUCUUCCAAUCAACUUAUGGGUCAGAAAGUCAUAAUGGAAAUUAGAAAACAUUUAGAACUGAAGGGAUUGGUAUGAUAGUAAUUGCUUCAUCCUCAGGCUUCCAGGAAACUGGCUGCCCCAACUCCAGGCCUCGUAUACACGGACAACAAUGCCAAGAAGAAGAGGCCCAGGACUUCUGGAGAUUACAAUGGUACCAAUACAGCAUUUGACAAAGGAAUGACUUGUGGAUGCAUAAUGCAAUUGGAAGUCUAACUGCAAAGCUCUUAGAAGGAUCUUGAUCAGAAGACACCGAUGGAAACCAUUAGAAGAGCUACUAACACUCCACUCUGUCGGCCAUUCACUGGACUUCAGCCAGUUACUUGUGUAUUUAAUUUCAAAAGAGAUGAACAAAAUUAAGUUCAAAAGGCAAGAAAAUACUGUCAAGGACUGUUGAAAAGAACAAUUGUGAUCAAGGAUUUUAUAAUAUUUUUAGCUUUCUGAGAAUGGAACAGCCUCUUAUAACUACAUGGAUCCAUUGUUCAACUUUCAUGCAUUCAGUUUUCCCGAUGG
rnacentral:lncRNA from 1 species